rnacentral:tRNA from 1 species
GGGGAUAUAGCUCAGUAGAGUGUUUGCCUUGCAUGUACAAGGUGCUGGAUUCAAUCCCCAGUACCACA